rnacentral:sRNA from 1 species
GAUCAUUACAGAGUUCAUGCCCUAACGGGUAGACCUCCCACCCUUGUGUAUUUAUACUUUGUUGCUUUGGCGAGCUGUUUUGGGCUUUAUUGCCCAGAGCCCCAGGCUUUCGAGCCUGAGAGUCGUUCGCCGAAGGAAAACUAAACCCUGAUAAUUAUUGUCGUCUGAGUACUAUAUAAUAGUUAAAACUUUCAACAACGGAUCUCUUGGUUCUGGCAUCGAUGAAGAACGCAGCGAAAUGCGAUAAGUAAUGUGAAUUGCAGAAUUCAGUGAAUCAUCGAAUCUUUGAACGCACAUUGCGCCCCUUGGUAUUCCGGGGGGCAUGCCUGUUCGAGCGUCAUUUCAACCCUCAAGCUUAGCUUGGUAUUGGGCUUCGUCAGUAAAAUGACGGGCUUUAAAAUCAGUGGCGGCGCCGCUGGGCCCUGAACGUAGUAAUAUAUUUCGUUAUAGGUGUCUGGUGAGCUUCUGCCAUUAAACCCCCAAUUUUUUAUGGUUGACCUCGGAUCAGGUAGGGAUACCCGCUGAACUUAAGCAUAUCAAUAAGCGGAGGA